ACUAUGGGAGAAUAUGUCGUUAACGGGUAAUCCCUCGCGAACGACAUCGGCUUGAUCAGCCGACAUGAUUGCGAAUGGGCAUCCGGAUAUGCUACGAGUUGGGUAUGUGAGUCAUGCUGGCCACAUGAGAUACACAUGUAAUCACCAACUCUAGCGCCCCUUCAGGUGAUCGAGAUACGCCUACACCUGGUUCUUGACCGGUAGAUUGUAACGAUCUCUCACCAUCUAAAACUUCAGGUGAUCAAGAUACGCCUACACCUUGUUCUCGACUGGUAAAUCGUAGCGAUCUCUCACCACCUAAAACUUCAUCUUCAGGCGAUCGAGAUACGCCUACACCUGGUUCUCGACCGGUGGAUCGUAGCGAUCUCUCACCAUCUAAAACUUCUGGUGAUCGAGAUACGCCUACACCUGGUUCUCGACCGGUAGGUCCUAGAGAACUCUCACCACCUAAAACUUCAAGUGAUCGAGAUACGUCUACACCUGGUUGUCGACUGGUAGAUCGUAGCGAUCUCUCACCACCUAAAAUUUCAUCUUUAGGUGAUCG
rnacentral:lncRNA from 1 species